GACCGCGUAGCUCAGUUGGCAGAGCAUUGGGCUAGUAUUCCAAAGGUCGUAGGUUCGAUUCCGACAGUGGCCA